AAGUCGUAACAAGGUUUCCGUAGGUGAACCUGCGGAAGGAUCAUUACAACGUAUCCAACACGUUUCAACCAAAACCUGUGAAUCUGUUCAAUCUCCCUUGUCGGCAGCGGACUGUACUCGUAUGGUCUGUAUGUGAUAAGGCAUGUUGCCUGCGGGCUCGAUGGUCGUGACUGCGUGUUGCUGCCGUCGGACUUGUAGGUAGGUGUUUCUUACAGCAGUUACACUGCAUAGUGUGCCGCUAUGGGUUCACCGAAACAAGUUAUCAACCAAAUGUCAACUCAGAAAGUGCACUCUUUGCGAGUGCGACUAUAUGUCAAUUUAUCGUGCGAUGUCGUCUAGCGCGACAUCGUGUUCACGUUUGUUUACUCAACGUGCAUAACAACUCUUUGCGAUGGAUGUCUUGGUUCUC
rnacentral:misc_RNA from 1 species